UUAUAAGAUAAACUAUAAAUUUACCUUAUAUUUCACAUAUUUAUACUAAAAUUAUGAAUAUAAGACUCUACCUCGCACAGGCUAGCUACUGCUCGUCUAGACAGAAUCUUUUUGAGGCAAAAUCCUCUAGGCAGGAAUCAACAAUUCAAAACAAUAAAUCCUGAUCUCGCCUCGCUCCAAAACUGUAAAUAUCCUGAUCAUCUCCUUCCUCUCUGUUGGUAAGAAAUCCGCUGUUAGGAUCGGAGCAGAACAUUGCAUCGAUCGGUGGUUCGACGAGAUAUGAUGCCAUUCUUCCCUGAGAAUGGGAUGCAUGGGGAAUCAGGGAUGAACAACACCAAUACAGAUUUGCUCCGGUUCACAUGGUAGCUGAUCACAGCCCGGUGCGGCCGUGCUCUACUAUGCUCCAUGUCGUUCUCUCUCUUUCACAUCACCCGCGAGCUGACACGAUGUGAGUGAUCCGCACGGCCGGCGCCGGUGCCGCUCGCCGGAGCAAACCUGAGCCGCAGAUCAAGGAAGAGGAUCGAAGAAAGUUGCAAGAGGGAACGCUGCAGGUGGUUGCUGAAGUUUUCAGCUCAAGAUUUGCCUGGAGACGAAUGCAAGUCAAGAGGAUAGGGGUUGGUUAGAUGUCAGCACUCUACUUGCAAUGUCUACUGGAUGUGAUGGUUUUUGGUUUAGAUCAAACAAAAUGACAGUUUUGUUUUACUUAAUUUGGAUGUUGUCGGUUGUUAUUUAUUAAACAGUCUGUUCAUUCCCUCAAAAAAUGGGAGAGCUUUGCUCCCUUUCUCCAAAGAAAAAUGGAUUUGCGAAGCAGAGAAGGCCACAUUGAUCGAGAAACUUCACCACACUGUAAAACAUUGGGAUGUGCUUUGGUCCUCAACUUUAGAUGAAAACUGUCGAAACUGGGAAAGCAUUUUUUACAA